GAGAACGCCACCCUUCCCCUCACGCAACUCCUUCUCGACAUCAAACUCAUGUAGCCGAUGAAGAUGCCAAGCGUCAAUACGCAGAGCAAAAGAUUCUUGAAGAACCCAUUACUGACACACAAAAAAUAAAACUUGAAGAGCAACCAACUAAGAGGGGCAUAGAGAAAAUCACGCAUGACCUGAAUGCAAAUGCCAAUGGAGAGUUAUCUGCCAAGGAGGUAAAAAAGUUGGAGGAAAGCACAACGGAACCCGAGAAAACAGAGAAUGAAGCAACCCCUCGCAUAAACCGUGGUCCCGAAGCCACUGCUGACGGCUUGAAGGAUGAGAAGAAAGGCGGACAUGAAGAGGAGGAUGGCGUUAAUCGAAAAUCGCUUCCUGCGGAAUCUUCAGAGUCAUUGUUCUCUCUAUCCAUUGAUUCUCGAAAGCAUGUUUCUGCAGCUGAAAAAGCCGAGCAUGAAGUUGACAGCCCAAUGCCACCCAGGGAUGCU